rnacentral:rRNA from 1 species
UUAGGCAAAAGUAUUAAUGUGUCGACCACCAGUUCUCUACUGCAGCUAAGCAGAGUCUCUUCUGAUUAGUACUGGGAAGGGAAACCGCCUGGGUACAUCUACAAUACCUAAU